UGGGGAAUAUUGCGCAAUGGGCGAAAGCCUGACGCAGCGACGCCGCGUGGGGGAUGACGGCCUUCGGGUUGUAAACCUCUUUCAGCAGGGACGAAGCGAGAGUGACGGUACCUGCAGAAGAAGCACCGGCCAACUACGUGCCAGCAGCCGCGGUAAUACGUAGGGUGCAAGCGUUGUCCGGAAUUAUUGGGCGUAAAGAGCUCGUAGGCGGUUUGUUGCGUCGGCUGUGAAAUCCCGAGGCUCAACCUCGGGUCGUGCAGUCGAUACGAGCAAAACUAGAGUGUUGCAGGGGAGACUGGAAUUCCUGGUGUAGCGGUGAAAUGCGCAGAUAUCAGGAGGAACACCGGUGGCGAAGGCGGAUCUCUGGGCCGAUACUGACGCUGAGGAGCGAAAGCGUGGGGAGCGAACA
rnacentral:rRNA from 1 species